ACCAGUUUACUAAAUUUUGUAGUUCUUCCACUCUUACACGCGGGAAAUACCUAUUACUCUUACAGCUAUUUUAAAAUGUUUAGGUUGCCAUGACAAUCUUAAACAGUGGUCGAUUUGGCAUGGCAGCAGUUGCCUCUGGUGGAAUAAGAAAAAUAAUCGGUACUGUAUGGUUUAAUGUUUAAUUUAAUUUACCAAUUAUAUACUGCAGCCCCAUUAGACUAACAUAGACGACAAGUAUACUAUAACAUACUAGAAAAUACAUGCAUGCAGAAACCCUCGCCUUGCUGACAAAACCAUUGCAUUUUCCGAACAUGAAGUAUCUAAAGUAGUUGUCAUGGUAACACGAUAAUUUUUUAAGAAUAUUUUUACAAAUGAAAAAUCGCCUAAAAAUAUCACUUUCAAUUACAAAAUUAUCAAUUUCCCAACAUAUAUAUGUUAGGUAUGUUAUUGUAAGUAAUAUAAGCUUCAAUUUAAGGUAAAAUUCAACCACAAACGCUUCGCAAAACGUUUUAAAGUGUUCUUUAUAAAACUAAACUGCCUUUAUUAAUUAAAUGGCUUUAUCGAUAAACUUUGAGUUUGCAAUAAAAUGAUUUCAGAUUCUCGCAUGCAAAUAACUUGGCUUUCUUUUUUAUUUAAAAAAAUCAAUAUAAUAAAAAAGGGAAUCAAUAAUCCAAUAUUAAAGAUACACUGAAAUUAUAUGCUGUCUUGUCAGUUUUAAUAGUUUUUCAUAUACGCAAAGGCCGUCGGGUUUUAAAGCAAUUAUAAAAUCAAUAUUUAAAACAAACUUACCUCCGUUAACGUCGGCUCCAUUCUUUUAGCCGAUUCUUUCGUUUUUUCUUUCUGAGAAAGCUUUUGAAAUUUACAAAAUCUUGCAAAAAUGCGAGCAACAAUGAAAUGUAUUUGCAAGAAAUUUAUCAAUCAUCAAAUCAAGAAAUGUUUGCUAUUUCGCUGUCGUCAUGCAGUCGUUAUAAUGCAAACUUUAAAUUGGACCAAUCAGUGUUCGCUAUUCAUGACAGUCCGCAACAUAUUUUGAGAUCAGUGAGGAUGACCACCCACCGAAACAUCGUUGGUGAGCCACGCCCGCGAUAUUUGAUGAACUUUAGACUUCGCUAAUGCUUUCGUUUCCCCGGGUGUAAAUAGCCGGGGGGAAUCAGUACCCUCGCAAGGCGCUUCGCGCCGUCGGCUCGGGUACAAGUGAAAAAUUACGUCAUUACUCUGCAUGCAGCACGAGAUUGGACCAUCUAGACUACGAACAGAGUUACACAUUAGACAUACGGUUUUGUACGAGCGAGGAUACGUUUAACCCAUUGAGUGGCAGCACUCUCCCCUGACGAGUAAAAUCGUCUGGUGUUAGACAGCGUAAAAUAAUAAAGUGGGGCGCAUUGCCACUUAAAGUGUUAACAGGGUGCAUGGGCAGGUUGUCUGAUUAACCCAUUGAGUGGCAGCACUCUCCCCCUGACGAGUAAAAUCGUCUGGUGUUAGACAGAGUAAAAUAGACAGAUUUAGAUCGGACGUGAAAAUGGCGUGGCAUAUCCAUACUUGUCCAUACCCAUACCACAGAAUACUACACAGAAGGCCAUCUCCAUUGUUUUUAGCGUAAGCGCUAUUCGUCAUGAUUCGUCACUCGGCAAGUACCGUAAACAGAAGCAGUCCCCCCCUGGAAAUACUAAAAAUGGCGAACGUCCAGGGGGGUGACUGCUUCUGUUUACGGUACUUGCUGAGUGACGAAUCAUGACGAAUAACGCUUACGCAAAAAACAAUGGAGAUGGACUUCUGUGUAGUAUUCUGUGUCCAUACGCACGCGUACUGGAUCUAAAUCUGUCUAAUAAUAAAGUAGAGCGCGUCUGGGCGCAUUAAUUGCCACUUAAAGGGUUAAACAAGGUCUUAAAGAUGUUGUAUAAUAUUCAUAAGUAAAUGAAUUGUUUGAAUCAUGCAUGCCGAGUAAAUUGAUGUGGAACGGAACUCUUAUGAAUCAAUAUAGUGUUUAAUAUAACAGACAGUCAUUUUCCGUAAAAAACGCCAAUAUGCCUUCUACUGAUUGCUCUGCACUGACAUCAUGAUAUAACAUUUUGUCACACUGUAAUUUGUUGCAAAACCAAAAGGCAACUCUUCACUAACCUGUUACACAUGCACAGGAAUGUAUUAUUUAUUGUUUGCAUUAUACUGUCGAAAUUACCAGUAUGAUUUGUCAAAUGAUACUCCUUUCAACUUCGUGAUAUUGUUGAGGUAUACACCUCGCUUUAACCAUGCAGCCAUGCAGGCUUUGUGGUUGAAACCACGCUUUAACCAUGCAGGCUAUAUGGUUGAAUGAACCAGAUUAUGUUUGGCGGAUUAUUAACAAGGAAUCCUUAGUUCAGUAAUAGCUCACCUAACAUAUAUCUGGCUCUCUCUCCUCCACAGAGGCUUUCAGUUGCUGCUUUGAGUGCUAUUAAAAUAUAUGCGCUAGACGGUAAUGUUAGAGAGUUAUAUAUUCACCUCCCUGACCUCCCUGUUAACAGAGGGGACUUUCGUCGACGCUGCAUGAAAAUAGUGCGGGCUCGUGAGCUUUUUCCCGCAAAUUUUGCUUUUCGAUGUUUGGUUUUUGAAAGCAUCUUUGCUUUUUUCGUUGGAAGUUAUAGACUAACUCUUCAACAAUCUAAUGACUGUUUUUAAAGCAAAGAAAUUGAAGGAAAACUUAUAUUUUCAUACGAAGAAGAUGAGUGGUGAUAUUUAUGUUGAACUGUUUUGAGCUCAUGCUUCGAAGAACAUGAUAUAAUCGGACCUUGUAUCUUAAAAGUGUACUUGGAACAGCCGAACAAAGUGGUAAAUUUUGUUACCCGGUGUGUUGGGCAUCAUAAUUCAAGGAAUAGUCCUCACCGGCGUUUAAACUGGUUAUGAAAUAUCCUGAACACUUCGUCGAGUUCUCUACCGCCUUGUGACCUGUAGUUUAAUGUGGCACGCGUUUUUGAAAGGGCUUUACUUGACUUUAAUCAACGUGUAAGGUAUAACUUAGGUAAGCCAACAUUUCUUUGUAAUGCAAGCUACAUUUUCAUAUCUUUAAUGUGUGAAUAUAUUUAAUUUUGUAAAAAAUUAAGUCCAAUAUGUUGUUGGAAAAAGUAUCGAGUGCUUCAUAAUGACGCUCAGAUCUUGUAUACAGAUAUUCGUAUUUUAUUCAAAAUCUACCCUUUAUCACCACUUUUUUUAUUCUUUUAUGUUAAAGUAUACAAUCAUAAUUCUUGACUUAAAAACACGAUGAUCCACUGGAGGAAAAUUGGCCAAAGGGGCGAUCUUUGCAGAGAAAUUGACCGUUCGGUGAAAUCAGUAGUUUUGAGACCCUAUUUGAAUUGUAGUAUUUCGUGACAAUAUGUUGGCCGAUUUCUAGUUUAUAUUGUAGAACGGGUUCCUAGUGAAUUAAAUUAAUUGUCUAUCUUCUAACGAGUAGUAAUAAGUGCGAUUCCUUUUUGUUAAUGGAUGUUGAAAUCAUUUUAGACUUUUCUUCAUAUACAACAAGUACACUACCGAGUACCGAGCACUGAAUCACUGUUUGCAAAGAAACUAGCCUAUAUCACCUACAUUAUUCCAGCUUAUUUUUAAAGUCAAAUAGUUUCUCCAUGGAUGAAAGUUGUUUUUAUGGAGUCAAAAAUAGGGCAAGUACGAAUUUAGAGAAGGUCAAUUUGCACUUGUACAUGUAUACCUCACUUCGAAAAAGAUAUACAUAUAAAACAGGUAUAUUUGUACGGCGAAAUUAAACAGCUGCAACAAAGUUUUUAUUUCUACUUUCACGUUCUUAUUCCAAAGCAAACACUUCUAAGUCAAAAGUGCCUACAAUUGUGAGCGUAGAAACACUAAAAAAAGCAAGAGAACAACUUCAUAACACGAGUAGUUUUGGCAAAUUUGGUGUUUGUUUUUAGAAUUCAGUCAAGCGAUCAACCCGCGCUCACGUGCACUCCACGCUUACGUUUCUCGCGUAUGCGUAGACGGAAGUCCCCUCUGUUCACCCUGUUAUAUAUAUGCGCUAGACGGUAAUGGGUAACAAGGGCGCUAGACGGUACUAUGUAACGAGGAAACCGCUAAAAUUCGGAGCGCGGACGCCAGGGGGGUUUCCUUGUUACAUAUUGCCGUCUUAGCGCAUAACUCUCUAACAUAACCGUCUAGCGCAUAUAUUUUAAUAGCACUCAAAGUAGCAACUCAAAGCCUCUGUGGAGGAGAGAGUAUCUGACUAAUUCGACAAUAUAGCUUGACUAAUUCAACCAUAUAGUCAGAACUAUGAUCAAUUUAACCAGGACUGUGGUUAAAUUAACUAUUUAACCAGGACCAUUAAGUUACCCCGAAUUAACAGUGUUAAUUUUAGAUUAACCAGCAAUUUUUAACCAGGGUGUUUAUAAUCAAAUGAAUUGCUGUAUUACAUUGAAUUUAUAUUCAGAUUAUAAUAAUAAAUAAUAAUAAAAAAGUCUUAAAGUUUAUUGGAUGCUAAAAGCACACGGUUUAGUUUACAUCGAAUUAUGAUUUCUAUAAUAGAUUAUCUAUAUUUAUAUUACAUUAUUUAAAUUAAUGAUUCUAAAAAUUGAAAGUGAAAUAAUUACAAUGCAAUCUAAUGUAUACAAUGUUGAGUUCUAAAACAACUAAUAGUGUCCAGUCGUGUACGACCAAAACUAGGGUUGUGCUGACAUGUCAGACCAGGUUUUCAGAAAUAGGCUACUAUUACAAUGAAUUCGGCUCUCCUGUGCCCUAGCUUCCGUUGACGUAAAUAAAUAUCAUGUUAAUUGUGGUGAAUCAUAAGGCUGUACAUAUGUGCCGUUGAACUUAUUGGGUAUCAUAUGCUCAGCACAAUCAAUAACAAAUUGGAUUUAAACGUGUUGUUACUGUAACCCUUUUUUCCUUCCCUUUAUUGGAAGUGUGGAGGGAUUAUAUUCUAAAACUCUGUGACGCUUGCUGAAAUUACCUUCUCUAUUUCAGAAUAUGCGUCAGAGUAUGCCACUCAGAGAGAACAAUUUCAGAGAAAGUUAUCAAGUUUCGGACAAAUACAGG
rnacentral:lncRNA from 1 species